AGAGAGAGACAUGCGUGCAUAUCAAUAAGCGGAGGAAAAGAAACUAACUAGGAUUCCCCUCAGUAACGGCGAGUGAAGCGGGAAGAGCUCAAAUUUGAAAUCUUCAAGGGUUCUACCUUUACGAAUUGUAGUUUAAAGAAGUGUUUUCUGUUGAGGUUUUGGUAAAAGUUCUUUGGAAUAGGACAUCAUAGAGGGUGAGAAUCCCGUAUUUGACCAUUAUUUUCAGCUGUGUGAUACACUUUCAAAGAGUCGGAUUGUUUGGGAAUGCAGUCCAAAAUGGGUGGUAAAUUUCAUCUAAAGCUAAAUAUUGGCGAGAGACCGAUAGCGAACAAGUACCGUGAGGGAAAGAUGAAAAGAACUUUGAAAAGAGAGUUAAACAGUACGUGAAAUUGUCAAAAGGGAAGCGUUUGACACCAGUGUUGUUUUCUCGAAAAUCAAUUAAAAAAGGCAGGAUUUUGUGUUGUAUUGACUUUAUCAGCUUUCUGCACUCUUUUCUUGUCUUUUUUAAUGCACUUUUCGUUUAACAAGUCAACAUCAAUUUCUUUUGUUGUAAAAGGGUCAUUGGAAGGUGGCUUUCUUUUCGGAGAAAGUGUUUAUAGCCUUUGGCCUCUGCAAUCGGAGAGAUUGAGGUCUGCAGCGUAGAUCCUUCGGGGUUAGAUACAUUUGUGCUAAGUUAUAGCAUUUUCAUAGACAACUUGUUGACUAUGAUUAGUCAUUGUAGCUUACUCGCUUAUGUUAUUUUACCUACGCUUAGGAUGUUGAUGUGAUACUGCGAGCA
rnacentral:rRNA from 1 species